AUUGAACGCUGGCGGCAUGCUUUACGCAUGCAAGUCGAACGGUAACAGGCCUUCGGGUGCUGACGAGUGGCGAACGGGUGAGUAAUGCAUCGGAACGUGCCCAGAGGUGGGGGAUAACGCAGCGAAAGCUGUGCUAAUACCGCAUGUGAUCUGAGGAUGAAAGCGGGGGACCAGGCAGCAAUGUUUGGCCUCGCGCCUUUGGAGCGGCCGAUGUCAGAUUGGGUAGUUGGUGGGGUAAAGGCCUACCAAGCCGACGAUCUGUAGCUGGUCUGAGAGGACGACCAGCCACACUGGGACUGAGACACGGCCCAGACUCCUACGGGAGGCAGCAGUGGGGAAUUUUGGACAAUGGGCGCAAGCCUGAUCCAGCAAUGCCGCGUGCGGGAAGAAGGCCUUCGGGUUGUAAACCGCUUUUGUACGGAACGAAAAGGCUCUGGCUAAUACCUGGGGCUGAUGACGGUACCGUAAGAAUAAGCACCGGCUAACUACGUG
rnacentral:rRNA from 1 species